rnacentral:rRNA from 3 species
UACGUAGGGGGCAAGCGUUGUCCGGAAUUAUUGGGCGUAAAGGGCUCGUAGGCGGUUUCUUAAGUCUGAUGUGAAAGCCCACAGCUCAACUGUGGAGGGUCAUUGGAAACUGGGGAACUUGAGUGCAGAAGAGGAGAGUGGAAUUCCACGUGUAGCGGUGAAAUGCGUAGAUAUGUGGAGGAACACCAGUGGCGAAGGCGACUCUCUGGUCUGUAACUGACGCUGAGGAGCGAAAGCGUGGGGAGCAAACAGG